AAUCUAGCUGGAUCCAUUCAUCCGAGAUGAUUGCGCUCGCCUGCGCUGCUUGAAAAGCACAUAUGUAGGCGGGGAUGUUCAUGGUGACAGGAGGAACCACAUGUUAACUUGUAUUCCUGACCCUGGUUACGGAUGUGAGCUGUCCAGGCCUUUUUAUUUAUACACGUGUGAAUUCUAACAGUGUGUUUUAGUGAUUGUGAAAUAUUCUAAAGUGUUUUAGAGAUUGCUGUGGUUAGAGCAUUGUGUGGGGGUUGCGGUGUUGCCUGGCGCUCUGCUUACUUCAUGGGGCAGGGACACUGAACUGUGGAAUUCUAAUAAUAAAUGCUUAUUUCC